CCGUGCAAUUGGUCAAUAACUCUCAGGGUUCAGUUACCUGAGGGUAGCCGUGCGAUUGGACAUUAAUACUUUUUAGAGGGAAGAGAUGGAGAAUUAUCUCUUCCCUCAGGAAUUCCUUACUGAUGGUUGGCUGAGACCCAGUCCCACUUGCUGGGCAGUUAAUGCCAACUUUGCCUUAGUGUGUGGACUAGGGCUUUUUGUCUUCUUAAACUCCUAUUUCCAGCCUGAUCCGUCCUCACCAUGAGGCAAGAAACACAGGAAGAGCAGGAAGUCACUGGAGAGACUCGGGAAAUGGGAAAGAAUAGAAUGGGUAUUCUCAGGAGAGAGCAGACCACCAUCCAUCCAAGACAAGCCAGACCAGGCAAGGGUUAGAGGGACAUGAGGAUUUCUCCCUGAAGAUCUCUGGCCGGAGUCCGGAUGUGGUGGUGGUGGGGGGUCUAGGGCAGCAUCCCAAACAGAGUGACAGGUGGCCAAGGACCGGAGGUUAGGAGCUGCCUCUCUACCGGAAGUCAGGCCCCUGAGCACUGGGUCAUCUGCUUCUGGGGUGGGGGCCCCAGCCUCCCUGUGUUCUCCUAUCUCAGUACCAAGUGGAGCCACAAAGAAGGAGCAACACAAGCAAGAAAAAUCAGACCGUGAAAGGUUUCAGAGAAUUUCUGAACAAUGUGGAAGAGGUUCAGGACUUGUUCUCCCUUCUGGAAAGGUAAAGAAUCUGCCCCCUUCUCCCCUGGGUGGGCCUUCCCGAGUCUAUGGUGUGACCCCUGGACUGCAGGGAACAGCCUCUGGGGCUGUUUGCGGGGUCUGGGAGGAGCCGUGGGGACAGACUGUGACCAAAGACCCGGGUGAGGGACAGAAGAAACAUUGUGAUGUGGGGGUUGUGCGUGGAGGGCUCUGGGUUCCACUCCCGGAUCCAACUGCUACAGUGGCAGCUCAUGCCUCCUGUCUC